UACGGAGGAUGCGAGCGUUAUCCGGAUUUAUUGGGUUUAAAGGGUGCGCAGGCGGCACGGCAAGCCGGCGGUCAAAUCGCGGGGCUCAACCCCGCCCAGCCGUCGGAACUGCCGGGCUAGAGUGGGCGAGAAGUAUGCGGAAUGCGUGGUGUAGCGGUGAAAUGCAUAGAUAUCACGCAGAACCCCGAUUGCGAAGGCAGCAUACCGGCGCCCUACUGACGCUGAGGCACGAAAGCGUGGGUAUCGAACAGG
rnacentral:rRNA from 1 species